rnacentral:lncRNA from 1 species
CAUUAUCUGGGGUGCUGGGAGCCAGUCGGUCUCCUCUUCCUGCUCCACAAGGACUGAGGCGUCUCCUUGAGGUAGGCAAAGCAGCAAUGCGAUACUCCCCAGGCUUAUCACCCACUAUCAGCUGGAUCUGCUGUUUGCUCCAGACUCCACCUUUGCUUGGAAAGUGCUUGCAAUUCCAUGAGGUAGAGCACACCACAGGCGUGCCUGGAUGUUUGGCCCUUCUGAGCAGCUUGUCAUUGAGGAGAGAGAAAACAACUGGUCCAUUGCUGAAAAGUUGUGCCACUCGGUGCAGCCCCCACGACGUGUGACCCGCGGCGUUGGAGAUGCAGGGCACAUCCCCUCCCUCCUCUGCGACCGCAGGAUGGAGACGCCAGGUUCUUUCUGCCCUCCCUGAAAUAAGCGAGUUCUGUUCGCCCGCCAAGAACAUCCCAGUAAAUAUAAGGAUUGUGUAAGUUGCUUGCAAUGCCCAAAGUAUAAACAAACUUGUGCCUCGGAAAGGUGAGUUUCUGGCGGGUUUCCAGGGGAGUUCCCUCGGUGCUGCAGAGCUGAGGCGUUCCUCUUGAAGGUAAAAGACAGAUUUUAGAUAUUUAUGCAAGACAGAAAGAGGAAAGGUGCAGUAUGGAGGGAUACAAAAUGAGGUGUCUGGUGGUGGUGGUGGUCGUAGUGGUGCUUUUCACACUGACCUGUGGCUCUACAUUUAUUUCCUUGCCCAGCGGUAUCGAACGGCUCCGCUUUCAAACUGUGUCAGCAUGAGUGACAAGUGCAUGAAUGGAAUAUUCCUGUGGAAUAUCGUGGAAUCAGAUCUAACAUUUCUCCUGCGAAACGUAUGGAUGAAGUCAGGUGUUCUUUUAUCUGUGAGCU